CGCCACUCACGCGGAGCCAAUCGGAACUCGCGGCGGGGCUGCUGGGUCUUCCAGGAGCGCGCUUGAGCGGACGCUGCCUACCGGUGGCCGGGCGGGAUGUAACCCGCUGCUGAGCUGGCAGCUCUGUGUCGCUAGGCUUCGGCCCGGCCGCCGCCGCACAUAAGCUGCGAGGAGGAGCUUUACGACUUCCCGGUCUUCGGGGCCGGGCGCAGCAAGGGCCAGACUCUGCGCUAGCAGGCGCUGCGCGCCAACCGGCCGGCACCUGUCGCAGAAGGUGCAACCGAUCGCACUGUCGCGCCGAAGCUCCUCAAUGGCCAGCGCCAGCUGCAGCCCCGGCCGCCCACUCGCCUCACCUGAGCCUGGGAGCUUGAAAAAUCACAUUUGAGAAGAGGAUUGGAUCCUAGCCAUAACAUAAAUAUAAGGGUAA
rnacentral:lncRNA from 1 species